CAAUAGCAUAUAUUAACGUUGUUGCAGUUGAAAAGCUCGUAGUUGAACUUUUGGUAGGAGCGACCUGGCCUUGGGCGCAUGUCCUUGUUUGCCGUGUGUCGUGUCUGGCCAUCCUUUUCUUCUUUUUGGAAGGAAUCUUUUACUGUGAGUAAACUGGAGUGCUCAAAACAAGACGUUUGUUUGGUACAUUAAAGCAUGGAAUAAUAAGAUAGGACCUGGUUACUAUUUUGUUGGUUUGCAUAGCUAGGUAAUGAUUAACAGGGACAGUUGGGGGUAUUCGUAUUUAAUUGUCAGAGGUGAAAUUCUUGGAUUUAUGAAAGACGAACGACUGCGAAAGCAUUUACCAAGGAUGUUUUCAUNAA
rnacentral:rRNA from 1 species